rnacentral:misc_RNA from 1 species
AACGCACAUUGCGCCCCUUGGUAUUCCAUGGGGCAUGCCUGUUCGAGCGUCAUUUGUACCCUCAAGCUCUGCUUGGUGUUGGGUGUUUGUCUUUUCCUCUGCGAUUAGACUCGCCUUAAAGUAAUUGGCAGCCAGUGUUUUGGUAGUAAAGCGCAGCACAAUUUGCGCCUUAUCCCCUAAGCUGUGGCAACCAUGAAGCCUCUUCUCACUUUUGACCUCGGAUCAGGUAGGGAUACCCGCUGAACUUAA